GAUGAACGCUGGCGGUAUGCUUAACACAUGCAAGUCGAGCGGACUCUUCGGAGUUAGUGGCGGACGGGUGAGUAACGCGUGAGAAUCUGGCUUUGGGUUCGGGACAACCACUGGAAACGGUGGCUAAUACCGGAUGUGCCGAGAGGUAAAAGAGAAAUUGCCUGAAGAUGAGCUCGCGUCUGAUUAGCUAGUUGGUGAGGUAAAGGCUCACCAAGGCAGCGAUCAGUAGCUGGUCUGAGAGGAUGACCAGCCACACUGGGACUGAGACACGGCCCAGACUCCUACGGGAGGCAGCAGUGGGGAAUUUUCCGCAAUGGGCGAAAGCCUGACGGAGCAAUACCGCGUGAGGGAAGAAGGCUCUUGGGGUGUAAACCUCUUUUCUUAGGGAAGAACAAAAUGACGGUACCUAAGGAAUCAGCAUCGGCUAACUCCGUG
rnacentral:rRNA from 1 species